rnacentral:rRNA from 1 species
AGCGAACGCUGGCGGCAGGCCUAACACAUGCAAGUCGAACGAACUCUUCGGAGUUAGUGGCGGACGGGUGAGUAACACGUGGGAACGUGCCUUUUGGUUCGGAAUAACUCAGGGAAACUUGUGCUAAUACCGAAUGUGCCCUUCGGGGGAAAGAUUUAUCGCCAUUAGAGCGGCCCGCGUCUGAUUAGCUAGUUGGUGAGGUAACGGCUCACCAAGGCGACGAUCAGUAGCUGGUCUGAGAGGAUGACCAGCCACACUGGGACUGAGACACGGCCCAGACUCCUACGGGAGGCAGCAGUGGGGAAUCUUGCGCAAUGGGCGAAAGCCUGACGCAGCCAUGCCGCGUGAAUGAUGAAGGUCUCAGGAUUGUAAAAUUCUUUCACCGGGGACGAUAAUGACGGUACCCGGAGAAGAAGCCCCGGCUAACUUCGUG